rnacentral:ncRNA from 1 species
UGAACUUCGUCGACGAGAACGAGUAAGCUGCGGGAAUCGUUCCCCAGAGAGCCGGCAUUCGCUGCAAGCCGGCGUUCGAGCCCCAGCUGAAUAUCCUCUCCGAGAAGCGCCGCCGAACGGGAAAGCAGUAAGCGACGCCGGGUGUCCGCCGUUAUACGGAACGCAGACGACCUCGUCUCUGCGGCGAAGGUGCCGGAGCGCCUCCACGUUGUCUUAUACAAGACCUCGCGGAGCUCGUGCCCGGAACAAGGGUGGUAUCGCGAGUGAAGACUCGUCCCUGUU